rnacentral:lncRNA from 1 species
CAGCUUCUGUGGACUCAGGCCAAUUGAAAGAGUGAUGAGAAUUGAUACAGACUCGUGGUGUUUUGCUAAGACAAGACUGUAAAAGAAUACAUUGAGUUUGGAAGGAAUAUGAACAGGACUCAACAGACUGUGACAGAGGCUUACAUAACUAGCUUUACAAUGCUUCAUUGCUCUCAUGUCUUUUGUCUUCAAGGAUCGUCACUUUGUUGAGAGAGGCAUGACAGAAAACUUCUCCUGGCAUCCUUGCUGACCCUGGUCUCUCCUGCUGACUUGUGCAGAUUCAGUAGAGGCCUGGCUGUUUCUGCUGGGUCGUGUUCACUAUACUGAUACUACUUAACUGGACUGCUGUUAUAUAUCCUGACAACACAGCGGAGUGACAUGGUAGUAGUGGUUCCUGUUCAGCCUCCAACAACCUGUGUGCCUAGAAUCACGGCAAUUCUCCUACCUGCCCAGACCCAUAUUGUUACACAAUGUGAAUGAAGAUGCAUCUUGCUAUGAGUCACUGAGAAAUGGUCUUGGUUUACGAGUUCAGAAAUGGGUGCAGUCCAUGCCACAUGCAGGAGCUAAGAUGUCAGACCCCAGAGGAUUUGGCUUCCUGACGAGCCCUGACAGUGCUACUGUGCAGUACUCACUGUGGAGUUAGGAGAAAGGUGGUGAAUGAGAGCUGAUCUGCGACUCUGAGCUUUCCAGAUCAAUGCGCAUCAGUCGACCCAACCGACCACCUCCCACCUGCCUGAAGCACUUCCUGCCCCAGUCUACCGUGGCACUAUCUUCCUGAUGCCCAUCCCAUCAGCCCCUGGGGAAGCCAUGUGACUCUGAAGCCGUGCGGGAAGAGCCACUAGAAACCUGUGUCCUAGAAAUCAGGAUCUUGAACUUGGCUCCUCUAGUCCCUGACUUUUAUACGGGAAGUCGGUAUAGACCUGCAACUGCGUCUGUGUGAUUGUGGAAAUGUGUGUGGGUGUGUAUCUGAGUGCAUGUGUGUGCCUGAGUGCACUGGUAUGAUGGAGCUGGAGGAGAGAGAGAGAGAGAGAGAGAGAAAGAGAGAGAGAGAGAGAGAGAGGUGUCUGUGAGAGUGGAGAGCUGGAGCCCAGGCGCGAGCAUGAGUCUCUGAAAGAUUAGAUGCAGUGGGCAUGGAUCAGAGCUAAAGGGUACUGGAUGGUGUGGUGUGAAUCUUCCUGUGUCUGACGCUUACAGGUGGUCAUUGACAUAUGCACCUGUGCAUGAUGGGAGGGCAUGGAAGGUGGCAGGAGGAAGGGCCUGGGGUGACUGUUCACAGAGGGGCUCAGGGUUUGUGAAUCAGAGGCUAAGGGGAAAGGCCCCACAAUCCAGGAUCUGGAAGAGCUUAUUUAAUUUUGUCACUCACUGUGUGUUUCUGUGUAUGAAUACCUGCAUUAAGGGAGCAUCCUAAGUAUCCAUCAGCAGAAGAAUGAAUAAAGAAAGUGCAGUUUGAGGCUGGAGAGAUGGCUCAGUGGUGAAAACGACUGACUACUCUUCCAGAGGCCCUGAGUUCAAUUCCCAGCAACCACAUGGUGGCUGACAACAAUCUGUAAUGGGAUCCAAUGCCUUCUUCUGGUGUGUCUGAAGACAGCGACAGUGUACUCAUGUGCCUGAAAUGAAUAAAUAAAUAAAUC